rnacentral:tRNA from 1 species
ACGUGGCUCAGUCGGUAGAGCGUCGCCUUGGUAAGGCGGAGGCCGUCGGUUCAAGUCCGAUCGUG